AGCACUGUGUGGUAUCUGCAGCCAGCUGCUCAAUGAGCUGGUUUGUUCAAAAGCCAGUGCAAGACCAAGUCAACACUUGGCAUCGUUGGUCUCCAUGCUGCAUGUGUUUGGAGUCCUGGUAUUUUUGUUGAGACAUUU
ensembl:snoRNA small nucleolar RNA SNORA8